CCUACGGGAGGCAGCAGUGGGGAAUAUUGGGCAAUGGGCGCAAGCCUGACCCAGCAACGCCGCGUGAAGGAAGAAGGCUUUCGGGUUGUAAACUUCUUUUAAGGGGGAAGAGGAGAAGACGGUACCCCUUGAAUAAGCCACGGCUAACUACGUGCCAGCAGCCGCGGUAAUACGUAGGUGGCAAGCGUUGUCCGGAUUUACUGGGUGUAAAGGGCGUGCAGCCGGGAGGACAAGUCAGAUGUGAAAUCCCGCGGCUCAACCGCGGAACUGCAUUUGAAACUGUUUUUCUUGAGUACCGGAGAGGUCAUCGGAAUUCCUUGUGUAGCGGUGAAAUGCGUAGAUAUAAGGAAGAACACCAGUGGCGAAGGCGGAUGACUGGACGGCAACUGACGGUGAGGCGCGAAAGCGUGGGGAGCAAACAGGAUUAGAUACCCCAGUA
rnacentral:rRNA from 1 species